rnacentral:rRNA from 1 species
CACACAUGCAAGUCAAACGAAGCUUGACGGAUGAUUUCUUCAAAGGGAAACCUGAUAUGACUUAGUGGCGGACGGGUGAGUAACACGUGAGCAACCUGCCUUUCAGAGGGGGAUAACGGCUGGAAACGGUCGCUAAUACCGCAUGACGUGUUCGGAUGGCAUCAUCUGAACAUCAAAGAUUUAUCGCUGAAAGAUGGGCUCGCGUCUGAUUAGAUAGUUGGUGGGGUAACGGCCUACCAAGUCUACGAUCAGUAGCCGGACUGAGAGGUUGAACGGCCACAUUGGGACUGAGAUACGGCCCAGACUCCUACGGGAGGCAGCAGUGGGGAAUAUUGCACAAUGGGGGAAACCCUGAUGCAGCAACGCCGCGUGAAGGAUGACGGUCUUCGGAUUGUAAACUUCUUUUCUUAGUGACGAAGACAGUGACGGUAGCUAAGGAAUAAGCAUCGGCUAACUACGUGCCAGCAGCCGCGGUAAUACGUAGGAUGCAAGCGUUAUCCGGAUUUACUGGGUGUAAAGGGAGCGCAGGCGGGACUGCAAGUUGGAUGUGAAAUACCGUGGCUUAACCACGGAACUGCAUCCAAAACUGUAGUUCUUGAGUGAAGUAGAGGCAAGCGGAAUUCCGAGUGUAGCGGUGAAAUGCGUAGAUAUUCGGAGGAACACCAGUGGCGAAGGCGGCUUGCUGGGCUUUAACUGACGCUGAGGCUCGAAAGUGUGGGGAGCAAACAAGAUUAGAUACCCUGGUAGUCCACACUGUAAACGA